rnacentral:rRNA from 1 species
CCUACGGGGGGCUGCAGUGGGGAAUAUUGGACAAUGGGGGGAACCCUGAUCCAGCCAUACCGCGUGUGUGAAGAAGGCCCUCGGGUUGUAAAGCACUUUCAGUGAGGAAGAACGCCUGGUGGUUAAUACCCAUCAGGAAAGACAUCACUCACAGAAGAAGCACCGGCUAACUCCGUGCCAGCAGCCGCGGUAAUACGGAGGGUGCGAGCGUUAAUCGGAAUUACUGGGCGUAAAGCGCGCGUAGGUGGCUUGAUAAGCCGGUUGUGAAAGCCCCGGGCUCAACCUGGGAACGGCAUCCGGAACUGUCAAGCUAGAGUGCAGGAGAGGAAGGUAGAAUUCCCGGUGUAGCGGUGAAAUGCGUAGAGAUCGGGAGGAAUACCAGUGGCGAAGGCGGCCUUCUGGACUGACACUGACACUGAGGUGCGAAAGCGUGGGUAGCAAACAGGAUUAGAUACCCCGGUAGUC